UCACUCCCUCACAGGCUCGAAGUACGUAUUCGUGCCACACUCUCAUUUUUGUUUAUUUCGCGAUGCGAAACAUACAUGAAGCCACUAUAUUGCAGUUUAUGCUAAGUGGAAGAGAUGAGCGGCGCCUCAGUGAGAAUCCCCAUCGAAAAAUAUGAUAUACACGAUGUUUUCUUUUCCCUGAGUGUCCUGAGGAAGCUACCGGAGUACACAAGGGAGCUGGAGGAGGGCUCUUCAGAGACAUUGUACCGAAUUAUUCAUAGCUCGAUUUGCGCCGCCCGUUGGUACUAUCGCCGCUACUCCCGGUACGGAGAAUUCGUUCAUUUACUCAACACAUAUGCGGAGUGUAUUGCUGUGAAAUCGUCCAAUUCUGCACUCCGAGUCGCGGAGCUACUUGCAGCUCGCACUUCCCAACUUCAUACCCCGCAGCUGUGGCAGCGGCUUCCACUUCCGAUUGCCGCUUCUCUUCUUUUUGCCGUGAUUUGCUGCAGUGCGACGGUGAUACUUAUCGGUAUUGGAGAAGAUUGCUGUCGAAAAGCGGAUGUUGCUGCGCUGAUACUGAGCUGUGUGAGUGUCUUGUGCCUAUGUGCCCUGUUUCCACUCAUUUACGCGUCCCUAAGGCGGCGCGGAUACAAAGGGCAGGAGCGGCUUGUUGACCGCAUGGUGCGAAUGGCCUGUGACAACGCUCAAAGCCAAAAUUCGUUCUACAACCCGCUGUCGGACCGAAUUGAACUCACCGAGCGAGUGAUAGUCGAGGACGCAGAUGCGUUUCUUGUUGAAGCCGACAUUGCCCAUCGUAACCGAAGGGCUAUCGCGAUGCUCUUAACAGAGGCCACCGAAGACGAGGGGAGUGCUGUCUUACGGAGCAGAGGCCUUCCUCCUGCUAUGAUCGGACUUAACGCCAUCUAUAGACAUACGAUCAUUAUCAUGACGGACUUUGAUGGGAAAGUCGUAAUGUGGAGCGAUGGCGCGGCUACCUGCUUCGGCUUUAGUGCACGAGACGUCGAGGGGAACAAUAUAAUUUCGCUUCUCUAUGGCGAACGGUCGGUGGAGCUCUACGCCACAAUGACUGAAGCCGCUGAGAAAAACUUGGACCUCUCCGAAAAGGUCCUCACCGUAGCACAUAUGGGCUUGGGCACUGUCUCUAUCAGCGCAACAGUGGUCGUCAGCCGAGAGGCCAAAUCGAAUCAGCCCGUGGGGUUCACCCUCAUCGGAUCUGUACGCUCCGACGAGCUGUCGCAGACGCAGGCGGUGCUGCACUCCUUUUUUGUAGCAGAACUGUCGCAGCUGUCUGUCAAGGACAGCCAAUUUCGCCAAAUUGUGGACUGCUUGCGGUGGAAAAACCUGCGUGACCUCUCCGCGCUGGCGAGGGACUGGAGAAGCGCGCACAUUCGGCAGCUGCUGUCCGAGGUCAUCAAAGGUAGGCAGCGCUACGUGAGCGUCGAGGUCGAUCCAAAGGUAACCGAAUUGCCGCCUAUUCUCUGCGACACGGUGGGUAUCACUGCUGUGCUAAAUCGCGCUUUCGAGCUGUUCUGCGAGAAAAUUCGCGUCCGCGUUGAGCAAAAACGCACGACUAGUGCGGUGUACCAGCUCAUUGUAGUUUACCGUCAUGACAUGUCUGGGCUCAACCGAAAUACCUUGAUUGACAUCACCCGAUCUGCAAAUGACCUUGGUGGCAUUGUAGUUGACUCCCCUGGUACGCUGAAGCUGUUGUUGCCCUUUAUGGUGAAGGAUGAGGCAAUUCAAGCCUUGAGGCCUCAAGGUGCCGCUGCACAGAAGCCGAUCGGACACGACCCCCUCAUUGUGCUACUCUUGGAGAAGAAUGCUGUGCACCGUCACAACAUAUCUGCCUCCAUCUGGAGCUGCGGCCAUUCUCUUCGGCUGGUUGAGAACGUUCGCAAGGCGCUACAGGCCAUCGAAGGAUCGACCGACCUCGGCUGCGCUAUUAUCGACGUCGACGUGAAAGGCUCUGACCGCGUGAUCGAGGCACUGCUGGCGAAGCACAUCUGCAUAAUCGAAACCUCUGAAGCGCUAGACGGCGGUGCAAAACGCGGUGAUGCCCUUCUGAAGAAGCCGAUCUCGAAUGAGGCCCUCCGCAAGGAGCUAGAGAAGGCUACCUACAAGUGCGAGGAGGCGAAGCGUGCCGGUGAGGAGCUGCUGAAGCGGCGAGAGGUGUUCGGAAAGGUGCGCAACAGUCCAUGGACACAGGGUCGUCUGCUCGGGCGUGGCGGGCACGCUGCCGUGUACGAGGCGACUUCCACCUUGACGGGCGGAAAAAUGGCUGUCAAGAUCAUCCGCGUGUCUGGCAACUUUGAAGAGCACAUCGACGAGUUUAUGAAUGAGAUUGGGAUUCUGUGUAAGUUGACACAUCCGAACAUCAUUCACUACUUUUACUGCGAGCGAACGGAGACAACCCUCAACCUCUUCAUGGCGAUGGCUGACCAGGGUACGGUGGCCGACCUUAUCAAGCGCUGCCCACGACUGCCCGAGAACCACGUCGCCACCAUCACGAAACAACUUCUGCAAGCGGUCAACUACUUGCACGAGUGUGGGAUUAUCCACCGCGACAUUAAGCCAGGCAACAUGCUCAUUUCGCAAGGGCAGCUGAAGCUGUCCGACUUCGGCACAGCCACCACGAACGUUCGAGAGGGCACAGUUGGCACCAUCAGCUACAUGGCCCCAGAGGUCGUUGAUGGAAAGCCGAGCGGUAAGGAAAGCGACAUCUGGUCGAUUGGCUGCGUUGUCUGUGAGUGUUUGCAGAUCAAGCGCUCUGGUGAUGGCUUGCUUGGGUAUGGCGCACCAGAAGAGUACCCGAGUGAUGUAUCCGCUCAGGCGAUCGACUUCAUCAAGGCCUGCAUGCAGAGAAAUCCCUCAGAGCGUGCAACAACUGGCACGCUGCUGCUGCACGACUUCAUUGUACACCUCGACCAAGAGGUGUCACAGCUGGCUGAAGUACUACCGGAGGCGGCGCCAAACGAAGAGGGGGCAAAGACACCUAAAGCCCGCAGCAGUUUCAGUGACUCCACCGUCAUCAGCUGGUCCUUCGACUAGUCUCUGCGUUCUCCGUACUCUUCUUGUUUUGCUGCUUUUCUUUCGGUGAGCGCAAGUUUGUUGUACUGCUCUCCCUCCUCCUUUUCUUUUUCGCUGCCGGAGGGGUCUGCUGCGAUUGGUUUCCAAGUAGCCUGAUGCACACACAUCUGCGCACAGGAACACCCACCUGCAGCGACUUUUGAAUCGGCAACGACGCCAACAAACAGAAAAAAAAGCGUACUGCUAUGCAGCCUCGCAAAUGUCUCUGAAAGAAAAUCUAACGCUCCUGGGCACACACUUUUUGCCUAAGUGGUUCCCCUUCUCUCUGGAAAAUGGCGGUAGGAGACGUCCCCUCCAUAGAGAACACGCUCUAUUUUG
rnacentral:misc_RNA from 1 species